UACGUAGGAGGCGAGCGUUGUCCGGAAUUACUGGGCGUAAAGCGCGCGUAGGUGGCGCAGCACGACAGGUGUGAAAGCCCCCGGCUCAACCGGGGAGGGUCGUCGGGGACUGGCGGGCUUGAGGUCGGCAGGGGUUGGUGGAAUUCCCGGUGUAGUGGUGAAAUGCGUAGAGAUGUGGAGGAACACCGAUGGCGAAGGCAGCCCCCUGGGUCAAGAUUGACGCUCAUGCACGAAAGCGUGGGGAGCAAACAGG
rnacentral:rRNA from 1 species